CUUCUCAUUCAUGAAGAAGUUUUACUUCUCUCCUGGUUUCACAGCUCUGUGAUGAUUUCUAUGAACUGCAGAAUGUGAUUGUGUUCAUUCAUAAGUAAUCACAAUACACAUGAUGGGCAAACAUGACAAGGAGAAGAGACAAUGUGCUAUACCAUCCAGAGCUAGACCAAAUGAAUCCAAGAAGUAAAAUUUGAAUCUCACAGGCUGGCUGAAAGGGAUUUCGCAUUCACUGGACAGGAGCACGAAGGCAACUUUGUUGUACCGUAGGAUCAAAAGAGAAAAUCAAAAGUCACAUCUACUCCCCAUGUUACCUGAAACAUGCAAUGGAGCUGGUUUCUAUCAUUCUUG
rnacentral:lncRNA from 1 species